rnacentral:rRNA from 1 species
GACGAACGCUGGCGGCGUGCUUAACACAUGCAAGUCGAACGGAAAGGCCCUGCUUUUGUGGGGUGCUCGAGUGGCGAACGGGUGAGUAACACGUUAGUAACCUGCCCUUGACUUUGGGAUAACUUCAGGAAACUGGGGCUAAUACCUGAUAGGAUCUCCUGCUGCAUGGUGGGGGUUGGAAAGUUUCGGCGGUUGGGGAUGGACUCGCGGCUUAUCAGCUUGUUGGUGGGGUAGUGGCUUACCAAGGCUUUGACGGGUAGCCGGCCUGAGAGGGUGACCGGACACAGUGGGACUGAGAUACGGCCCAGACUCCGAAGGGAGGCAGCAGUGGGGAAUAUUGCACAAUGGGCGGAAGCCUGAUGCAGCAAAGCCGCGUGCGGGAUGACGGCCUUCGGGUUGUAAACCGAUUUCGCCUGUGACGAAGCGUGAGUGACGGUAAUGGGUAAAGAAGCACCGGCUAACUACGUG